CCCAGAACCACACUGAUGUUGAGAUUUCACUCACCUUGAAGUGGGGUGGAUCUCCCAAGCAAUCACAGUUCUUUGGGGUUCAUGGGGUUAACCUUGAGUGUCCUUGACUUGUGUGUGCCCUGUGGACAAGCCACGGCUGUGAUAGUGCUUGUUGAACGUGUGGGCGAUGGCAGUAGCUGCCUGGGUCCCUUUCUCUAUCCCCUUCCAGCUCUAGCCCUGACUGGAGACUCAGCCUUACUCCUUUUACUGUGGGAUUCAUUCUGGCUCCAGGCAGGUAGAAUAUAAAGAACAGUCUCAUGGUUCUCCUACCAAGACAUCCUCACAACAGCCUUUGUCCUUGACCUUCUGAAUCCCAAGUCUCUGAGUCCUGCCCGUUCUUUACUAGCAGGGGUCAUGGUUAUCCUGGUUAUCCUUAGUUCUCCACUGACAGUGGUGGGCCAGGUGAGAAGGGACUCGUAGAUCAAACUAAGGACUUUAAACUUUACUCUGAGCUCAAUGAAGGAUCACCCAUAUUCUUUUCUGUUGAUGGAUGUUGAAAGAUAAUCAGACACCCACACUGAAGGUCAAUUGCCAGGGGACAACAGUAGAGGUGUCUUCUGCUACAAGACAAGAGACCACGAAAGUCUCAUGGCCAUGAGACUGGCCAGGAGGAAGCCAGCCGGACUGCCUCCCCCACCUGCACUCAGGCUGCACCUAAUCCAUUCUCCACAUUGUGGCCAGAAGGACUUUCACAUACAAAUCUGUCACCACGUAGCCUUCCCCACCCCCACCCCACCUGCCUUAACAGUCUUCAAAGUCUUCUCUGUCCUCUUAAAAGACCAAAAUCCUAACGAGGUGUUGAACAGUAGGGGCUCUGCCUUCCUCUCCCAUCAGUAUUUCUAUAAUUCAUUACCCUGAAGCCAUAGUGGCCUUUCUUGAAGGCCACUCAUUUCCUUGAAGGCCAUUCCUCACUCCUCCUGAUUCAUUAAGGGCUUACACGCUGGUCUGUCUGUCCCCCAUGCCCUUGAUCAAGUUAAUUCCUGUGGCACCCUCCAGCUCUCCUCUUGCAUGUCCCUUCCUUGGGGAAGCCUUCCCUGUCCCCAAACUAAACACUCUCAUAAUUCAGUGUACAUUUCUUUUAUAACAUUAUUUGUAUGUUUCCCCAAACCAGAGCCAGGAGGGCAGAGACCUUGUCUAUUUUUGCUCCCCAGUAGAUACAUAACAAAAUGAGUGGCACAUACUGUGUGUUUAAAAUUUAUUCACCAAAGGACCAAAUGAGUGAAUUAAACAGGAUUUCAUGAACAGAAUGAGGAUGGAGUGAGGAUGGGAUCAGUCAUGACUCCCAGGUUUCUUAGCUUUGUAAACUCACGGUGCCACAGAGACAAGAAACACAGAAAGAAAGUAAGUUUGGGGGAGCUGGUGAACAGGAGCUAGUGAUGAUUUAAGGUAGAGAUGUGGAGUAUUCCGUGGAUAAGGGAGCUGGAGCUUGAGGAAAAGCUGGGCAAGAGAUGUAGAUCAGGGAGCCCCAAUUCCACAGGUAGCUGGAACACUGGGAGCCAGCAAGGUCAUCAGGAUGGAAGAAGAGGGCUGAGGCACAUGCCCAAGGAAAAAUAACUAGAAAUGGAGGAAGUCAAGGAGCUCACGAAAGGCUCAGAGAAGGAGUAAUCAGAGAGCAAAUAUAAUCAUUCAGUCAUUGAGAAGGAGCCCUGGGAAUUUUACAUACCAAAUAAAUACAUGAAUAAAUUUGUCAAAUUAAGAUCUGAGGAGUAGAUGGGGGUGACCAACCAUCCUGAUAUGCCUGGGACUGAACACUUUUCUGGGGUGCAAACUUGUGUUCCACCCUCUGGCUAUAAAGGUGGUGCAGAAUCUACCCUCUGCCUUGGCUG